CGGGACACGUGAAAUCCUGUUUGAACAUAGGGGGACCACCCUCUAAGCCUAAGUACUCUCUAGUGACCGAUAGUGAACAAGUACCGUGAGGGAAAGGUGAAAAGUACCCCUAACAGGGGAGUGAAAUAGACCUGAAACCGUGCGCUUACAAGCGGUCGGAGCUCUUCGGAGUGACGGCGUGCCUUUUGCAUAAUGAGCCUACGAGUUACUGCUCACUGGCAAGGUUAAGUUAAUAACGGAGCCGAAGCGAAAGCGAGUCUUAACAGGGCGUGCAGUCAGUGGGCGUAGACGCGAAACCCGGUGAUCUACCCAUGGGCAGGUUGAAGUUGUGGUAACACACAAUGGAGGACCGAACCAGUUGACGUUGA
rnacentral:rRNA from 1 species